UUAAAGAUCUUCCAGUAGCACCAAGCUAAAAAUAAAUAGCUGCCUCACUGUGACCCUGAUGCAUUGAAAUGGAAUGGAUAUUCAGAGACAAGCAGAGACAGAAAAUGGGGGAAAUUGUAAGAUGGGAUUUUGCUGUUGCUCAUUUGCCAGGGAUCAGCUUUCCAUGCCUGAAUACAGGUGAGUCACCUGGUCAUAGAAGGAGACGAAGUUGGUCAGGCAGGACUUGCCUUUCAUGAACCCAUGCUGUCUGGGCCUCAUCCUCAGGCUGUCCUGCACAUGCUGUGUGAUUGCAUUCAAGAUGACCUGUUCCAUCACCUUCCCUGGCACCAAGGUAGACAGAUGAAGAUCACCUCUGCCCCUUGACAACCUCCUUUUACAGUACACAGUAACACUGGGGCCAGUAUUUGGUCUUAUUUAAAUUGCUACGUAAUCUGGUCAUCUUUUGAAUUGUGGGACGAUGCUGCAAAUGACAUGUAAGCUGCAUAUUCAUAGUCCAUAAUAAAAAGAAAGUAAAAAGGGAUAAUACAAAAAGGAACAACAUACUCUGCUAAAUCUCUGUCCAUGAAUGAGACAUUCCUAAUGCACCUGACUGAGAAUCUAUUAAAAUGAAUGCUGCCAGUUUGUCUCUCUGAAGUACAAUUUUAUUAGACUGUCAUUGUUAAGGUAUUUCUGCAAGCACAUAAGUUAUGAAAAAGCUGUUCUUCACCACCUUCAUUUCUUUGCUGUGCUUUGGUCAUGUUCUCUUAACUCCUGCUGCUGUUGCCACUGUUUGUUGAGGUUGUUGUUUGUUUUGUCUUAAUUUCCUUCUUCCUUUUCUUAUGCUAAAGUGUUCACAGAUUUUUGGAGGGAAAAUAACCUAUAGACCAAAAGUCUUUACCAUUUAACUCUGAACAGGCUGAUAUCUGUGGUCUCAGACAGACGCUGCCAUUGGCUAUGGCACAAUUUGAUUUGCUUUGUUUGAGUUUCUAUAGAGCAGCAUACCUAAGCAUUAUUAUUUUUGUACCCCUUAAGUUUAGUGGAGAAUAAGUUAGGCCAUUUUAUUUUGCUUGUUUGAAUGACUUGGUUACAACAGUUACAUUGUGGUUGAAACAUUAUGGUGGUUCCUGAGAACAGGAACAUGCAACAGUCAUUUCCAUUGCUUCACCAGGAUACACAUUUUAUUAAGGUUAUGUAUGUGGCUCAGCCAAAGAAUACCAAACAGUUUUACUAAAAUAUGCAUUUUUUUUUUCCUGACAUCUGGUGGACCAGCCAGUUGGUCAAAGCCUGGGGAGGGCUGUUCUGCACAGCAUCUUGUAAGGAUGUGGGAAGUUAUGUGUUUGGUAAUGUCUGUGCAAAAUCUUCAAUGCAUCUACACCAGCCUCUGUCUGUCAAGUAACUCAUAUAUUGGGAUAGCAAAUGUAAACAAACAGCAAAAUGCUAUUUUAACAGUACAGAUUUUACUAGUAAUGAAGCAUGAUAGAUAGUAUGUAUGAAAAUAUAGCUAUGCUAUAUAUAUGCUAUAGCUGGGCUACAUUUUCCUGUGGUAGAACUGAUAAUAUGAUGCGAGAAGCAGCAAUAAAUGCUUAAGCUUAAAGCUUAUUUUCAAACCUGUUCUGGAAGGUAGUAGGCUUGACAGCUGCAAGGCAACAACAUUAAGCUGAGAAGUUGUAGUGAAGGGAAACAGCUCCACAAAGAGACAGCUUGUCCUUCAGGGACAGUUUUUUCUGCAUUGUGUUGUGUCCAUUGCCCAAAACAUAGAGGCACUCGCAACGCAGUAGAAAACACACUGCAUUUGUACAAAGUCUUCUGCAGAUCUGUUGGUCCACCUACCCAUCUAAAAUAGAAGAACUAAGUCUCUUUUAUUCCUGUGGCUUUCAUCUUUUUGGGGUGUUAUAUUUUCCCACAGUUAUAUACUGUAUUACAGUGU